rnacentral:rRNA from 1 species
GGUAUUCCGAGGAGCAUGCCUGUUUGAGUGU